rnacentral:lncRNA from 1 species
AAGGAAUGCCAGAUGGAAUCAACAGAGUGGAAAGACCAAGAGGUAGAUUCUGUGUGGAAUACUCAUGGCAAGAUAUGCACUGCAUGAGAAGUUAUUUACUUUCAGCUCCUUAUACUUCUCAUAGGAGGAUGAGAUGCUGCUAAGGAUCCAAUCCUAUACAGGAGCGUAUAAGUAACAACACUUUUUGUAAGUAGUUGACUUUCAUGCUUAAGUUUAAUGGCCACACAAAUGAAUUUACCCCAAAGU